rnacentral:tRNA from 2 species
GGGGAGGUUCCCGAGCGGUCAAAGGGGGCAGACUGUAAAUCUGUUGGCUCAGCCUUCGAAGGUCCGAAUCCUUCUCUCCCCA